AACGGCCAUACCAUGCUGAAUAUACCGGUUCUCGUUAGAUCACCGAAGUCAAGCAUCAUUGGGCGCGGUCAGUACUUGGGUGGGUGACCACCUGGGAACACCGCGUGCCGUUA
rnacentral:rRNA from 1 species